GGUUAAGCGACUAAGCGUACACGGUGGAUGCCCUGGCAGUCAGAGGCGAUGAAGGACGUGCUAAUCUGCGAUAAGCGUCGGUAAGGUGAUAUGAACCGUUAUAACCGGCGAUUUCCGAAUGGGGAAACCCAGUGUGUUUCGACACACUAUCAUUAACUGAAUCCAUAGGUUAAUGAGGCGAACCGGGGGAACUGAAACAUCUAAGUACCCCGAGGAAAAGAAAUCAACCGAGAUUCCCCCAGUAGCGGCGAGCGAACGGGGAGCAGCCCAGAGCCUGAAUCAGUAUGUGUGUUAGUGGAAGCGUCUGGAAAGGCGCGCGAUACAGGGUGACAGCCCCGUACACAAAAAUGCACAUGCUGUGAGCUCGAUGAGUAGGGCGGGACACGUGGUAUCCUGUCUGAAUAUGGGGGGACCAUCCUCCAAGGCUAAAUACUCCUGACUGACCGAUAGUGAACCAGUACCGUGAGGGAAAGGCGAAAAGAACCCCGGCGAGGGGAGUGAAAAAGAACCUGAAACCGUGUACGUACAAGCAGUGGGAGCACGCUUAGGCGUGUGACUGCGUACCUUUUGUAUAAUGGGUCAGCGACUUAUAUUCUGUAGCAAGGUUAACCGAAUAGGGGAGCCGAAGGGAAACCGAGUCUUAACUGGGCGUUAAGUUGCAGGGUAUAGACCCGAAACCCGGUGAUCUAGCCAUGGGCAGGUUGAAGGUUGGGUAACACUAACUGGAGGACCGAACCGACUAAUGUUGAAAAAUUAGCGGAUGACUUGUGGCUGGGGGUGAAAGGCCAAUCAAACCGGGAGAUAGCUGGUUCUCCCCGAAAGCUAUUUAGGUAGCGCCUCGUGAAUUCAUCUCCGGGGGUAGAGCACUGUUUCGGCAAGGGGGUCAUCCCGACUUACCAACCCGAUGCAAACUGCGAAUACCGGAGAAUGUUAUCACGGGAGACACACGGCGGGUGCUAACGUCCGUCGUGAAGAGGGAAACAACCCAGACCGCCAGCUAAGGUCCCAAAGUCAUGGUUAAGUGGGAAACGAUGUGGGAAGGCCCAGACAGCCAGGAUGUUGGCUUAGAAGCAGCCAUCAUUUAAAGAAAGCGUAAUAGCUCACUGGUCGAGUCGGCCUGCGCGGAAGAUGUAACGGGGCUAAACCAUGCACCGAAGCUGCGGCAGCGACGCUUAUGCGUUGUUGGGUAGGGGAGCGUUCUGUAAGCCUGUGAAGGUGUACUGUGAGGUAUGCUGGAGGUAUCAGAAGUGCGAAUGCUGACAUAAGUAACGAUAAAGCGGGUGAAAAGCCCGCUCGCCGGAAGACCAAGGGUUCCUGUCCAACGUUAAUCGGGGCAGGGUGAGUCGACCCCUAAGGCGAGGCCGAAAGGCGUAGUCGAUGGGAAACAGGUUAAUAUUCCUGUACUUGGUGUUACUGCGAAGGGGGGACGGAGAAGGCUAUGUUGGCCGGGCGACGGUUGUCCCGGUUUAAGCGUGUAGGCUGGUUUUCCAGGCAAAUCCGGAAAAUCAAGGCUGAGGCGUGAUGACGAGGCACUACGGUGCUGAAGCAACAAAUGCCCUGCUUCCAGGAAAAGCCUCUAAGCAUCAGGUAACAUCAAAUCGUACCCCAAACCGACACAGGUGGUCAGGUAGAGAAUACCAAGGCGCUUGAGAGAACUCGGGUGAAGGAACUAGGCAAAAUGGUGCCGUAACUUCGGGAGAAGGCACGCUGAUAUGUAGGUGAAGCGACUUGCUCGUGGAGCUGAAAUCAGUCGAAGAUACCAGCUGGCUGCAACUGUUUAUUAAAAACACAGCACUGUGCAAACACGAAAGUGGACGUAUACGGUGUGACGCCUGCCCGGUGCCGGAAGGUUAAUUGAUGGGGUCAGCGCAAGCGAAGCUCUUGAUCGAAGCCCCGGUAAACGGCGGCCGUAACUAUAACGGUCCUAAGGUAGCGAAAUUCCUUGUCGGGUAAGUUCCGACCUGCACGAAUGGCGUAAUGAUGGCCAGGCUGUCUCCACCCGAGACUCAGUGAAAUUGAACUCGCUGUGAAGAUGCAGUGUACCCGCGGCAAGACGGAAAGACCCCGUGAACCUUUACUAUAGCUUGACACUGAACAUUGAGCCUUGAUGUGUAGGAUAGGUGGGAGGCUUUGAAGUGUGGACGCCAGUCUGCAUGGAGCCGACCUUGAAAUACCACCCUUUAAUGUUUGAUGUUCUAACGUGGACCCGUAAUCCGGGUUGCGGACAGUGUCUGGUGGGUAGUUUGACUGGGGCGGUCUCCUCCUAAAGAGUAACGGAGGAGCACGAAGGUUGGCUAAUCCUGGUCGGACAUCAGGAGGUUAGUGCAAUGGCAUAAGCCAGCUUGACUGCGAGCGUGACGGCGCGAGCAGGUGCGAAAGCAGGUCAUAGUGAUCCGGUGGUUCUGAAUGGAAGGGCCAUCGCUCAACGGAUAAAAGGUACUCCGGGGAUAACAGGCUGAUACCGCCCAAGAGUUCAUAUCGACGGCGGUGUUUGGCACCUCGAUGUCGGCUCAUCACAUCCUGGGGCUGAAGUAGGUCCCAAGGGUAUGGCUGUUCGCCAUUUAAAGUGGUACGCGAGCUGGGUUUAGAACGUCGUGAGACAGUUCGGUCCCUAUCUGCCGUGGGCGCUGGAGAACUGAGGGGGGCUGCUCCUAGUACGAGAGGACCGGAGUGGACGCAUCACUGGUGUUCGGGUUGUCAUGCCAAUGGCACUGCCCGGUAGCUAAAUGCGGAAGAGAUAAGUGCUGAAAGCAUCUAAGCACGAAACUUGCCCCGAGAUGAGUUCUCCCUGACUCCUUGAGAGUCCUGAAGGAACGUUGAAGACGACGACGUUGAUAGGCCGGGUGUGUAAGCGCAGCGAUGCGUUGAGCUAACCGGUACUAAUGAACCGUGAGGCUUAACCUU
rnacentral:rRNA from 2 species